rnacentral:rRNA from 1 species
GAUGAACGCUGACAGAAUGCUUAACACAUGCAAGUCGAUGGGGAAGGCUGAGCUUGCUCAGCUGGUAACCAUGGCGGACGGGUGAGUAACGCGUAAGGAACUUACCUGCGGGACUGGGAUAACGGAGGGAAACUUCUGACAAGACCGGAUAAAGUUACUGGGCAGCAUUGUUUGGUAAUGAAAGGAGACGCCUGCGGAGAGUCUUGCGUCCUAUUAGCUAGUUGGUUGGGUAACGGCUCACCAAGGCGAUGAUGGGUAGCCGGCCUGAGAGGGUGAACGGCCACAAGGGGACUGAGACACGGCCCUUACUCCUACGGGAGGCAGCAGUGGGGAAUAUUGGACAAUGGACCGAGAGUCUGAUCCAGCAAUUCUGUGUGCACGAUGAAGUUUUUCGGAAUGUAAAGUGCUUUCAGUUGGGAAGAAAAAAAUGACGGUACCAACAGAAGAAGUGACGGCUAAAUACGUGCCAGCAGCCGCGGUAAUACGUAUGUCACGAGCGUUAUCCGGAUUUAUUGGGCGUAAAGCGCGUCUAGGUGGUUAUGUAAGUCUGAUGUGAAAAUGCAGGGCUCAACUCUGUAUUGCGUUGGAAACUGUAUAACUAGAGUACUGGAGAGGUAAGCGGAACUACAAGUGUAGAGGUGAAAUUCGUAGAUAUUUGUAGGAAUGCCGAUGGGGAAGCCAGCUUACUGGACAGAUACUGACGCUGAAGCGCGAAAGCGUGGGUAGCAAACAGG